AUUGAACGCUGGCGGCAGGCUUAACACAUGCAAGUCGAGCGGAGAUGAGGUGCUUGCACCUUAUCUUAGCGGCGGACGGGUGAGUAAUGCUUAGGAAUCUGCCUAUUAGUGGGGGACGACAUUCCGAAAGGAAUGCUAAUACCGCAUACGUCCUACGGGAGAAAGCAGGGGAUCUUCGGACCUUGCGCUAAUAGAUGAGCCUAAGUCGGAUUAGCUAGUUGGUGGGGUAAAGGCCUACCAAGGCGACGAUCUGUAGCGGGUCUGAGAGGAUGAUCCGCCACACUGGAACUGAGACACGGCCCAGACUCCUACGGGAGGCAGCAGUGGGGAAUAUUGGACAAUGGGGGGAACCCUGAUCCAGCCAUGCCGCGUGUGUGAAGAAGGCCUUAUGGUUGUAAAGCACCUUAAGCGAGGAGGAGGCUACUGAGACUAAUACUCUUGGAUAGUGGACGUUACUCGCAGAAUAAGCACCGGCUAACUCUGUGCCAGCCGCCGCGGUAAUAC
rnacentral:rRNA from 1 species